GCCUGAAGGGUUAUGCAGAGCUCUCCAAACUUUUUUUUAUCCAUCUUCUCCCUUGAGACGAAAAGGCUUAGAUUUGCAAGGUAACUGGUUAUUAGGAGAAUGCAAGCCCCACAGGGCAGGGACGCCCGGUGUCCGCUCCCUGCUCUCUUUCAAGCACCCGGCGAAGAGGGUCUGCAGGUCGCUCUGUGGAAUGAAGGAAGGAACCUCGCCAGGUGGAGCUUAACUGUCACCUCCUGUAAGAAGACGGCCCCCGAGGGACUGAAUGCUGCCAACACCACAGGAAUGAGCUCCACAUGGCUCCUUCCCCAGAUGAACCUUCAAAUAAGACCACAGCCCAUGCUGACACCUUGACUGCAGCCUGUGACAGAGCCCAAGCAGAGGACCCAGUGAAGCCCUGCCUGGAUUCCUUACCCACAGAAAAUGCUGGCAGGACCCGGCAGCGGAGGACAGGCAUCUCAGCCUCUGCCCAGCCUUCCUGCCCGUUGCUGGAAAUGAAAGCAGCCAGAACCCCGCCCACGCAGAGGCCAGAGUGAUGAGAUCCCAGGGGCUGGGCGACGUGAGCGAGCGAACGCGCUGUAAAAGCACAUUGCCACGGAGAAGGAGGGAGGCUGUCACCAGGCGGUCCCGGGGAAGCGGGGCCUUGGCAACUCAUCAGAAGGCUUCCCAGGGUGUGAAUAGAAUCCUUCUCUGCGCUAGAGGUUGAGCAAUUCCAGUCCAAGAGCUGUGCUGCUGCUCGGGUCUGUCCUGGCAGAUAAAUGGAUGGGUGUUUGAAUUUGACAGAUGAAGUCCCCAAGGCGAGGAACCACCGCAGUGGGCUAGAGGGAAAGAAGGCAGUGCCUCGGGGCUGGAGGGGUGGGCAGAGAGCCCCGGAAUCAGGAGAGAUGCAGAGCUGAGAGAAGCUGUGGCUCAGAAACCACAGGCCCAAACAGGGUGCAAAUCCGAGAGAUUAGCUUGGGAGCAGCGAUCCUUGUAAUUGGGACAUGGGGUUAGGGUGGGCCCCUGUGGAGCAAAUGCCCAGAAUGAGAGUUCUGUCCAUCCAUCAUCCCUCUGUCUACUCAUCCACCCACCCAUCAAUUCUUCACCAUUAAUUAAAAAAAUCUUUUUGGAAAAAUGAAAAUAGAACAAAGGAUAAAAGUAAGGCCAAGAUCUUGGCAUCUUGGAUUCCUCCCUAGAGAAAAAGUCACUAGUUUCUUUUCGUUUCUGUGCCUUGGACUUUUAGCAUAUCUUAAAGGCACGGGUGGCAUUUAUGUGCCAGCUUGGGCAAGUUUGGGGUGUGCCGUGUGUGUUUCAAGAACCAGGGUGAGUCCAGAUAAUAUCAUACACAGGCUUUGCAAAGUCCCGCCAAGUGGUUUCCCAGAGCUCAACCGUCAGUCAGAUGGUCAGGUCUGAGAAGUGCUCACUUUCCGUCUGAGUAAGAACAGCUGGGGUUUCAUGCAUCUGCAUCACUUGGUCAUAAUUUGUUUUCUUUUCCGCUUCUCUAAUUCCCAAGAUAAAUCAAAGGGCAUUUUCCACUGAUGUUGCUGAGUAACAAGAGCCAUUAACAACUUGCCUGUUGUUAUUCUAACAACCUUCGCACCUAUCGAUGAAAGAGGGCUCCCUUUAGCCACAUCCAUAAUUGGAUUUUUAUGCUCAAUGCAUCCUUUCCCCCAACUUUUAUUUUGCAGCAUUUUAAAUCUAUAAAAAGGUAAAAAAAUAGUAUAAUAACCAUCCCGGAGUCCUUGUUUUAGACUCACCAGUGGUUGGCAUUUGACAUUUUGCCAUAUUUAAAAAUUAAAAAAACCAACUAUUUGAAAGCAGAUAGCGACCAUUAUGACCCUUCUGCUCUAAAUACUGCCUCUCCCUAAAACAAGGGCUUUCUUCUCCAUAAACACAAUACCGUCGUCAUGCUCCCAACUUUAAUAAUGGAUAUAAUAAUUUUAUCUAAUGUAACAUCCAUAUUCCAAUUUUCUCAAGUGCCUCGUUAUCAUUCUUUGAAGUUGUUUUCCUUUUUUUGUUCCUUGAUCCAGGAUCCAGUCGAGGAUCACACAAGGCAUUUCGCUGACAUGUCUCUUAGGGUCUUUUAAUCUAGAAUGUUCCCCACCAACCACAGCUUAUGUCUUUUCCAUGUCUCAUGGUGGAUUGACAUUUUUGAGGAAUUGGCCAGUUGUCUUCCAGGAUGUCCAGUAACUUGAAUUUGUCUGAUUAUUUCCUUAUGAUUAGACUUAGAAUAAACCCUUUGGUGAAUGCAAUGCACCGGCAAUGUUUUUUACGUCCCAUUGCAUCACACUGGGGGGCACAUGACGUCAGUCUGGGCUCAUUAUUGGUAAGGCUACAUUUGAACAGGCAUUUAAGGUGGUGUCUGCUACAUUUCCCCACUGUAAGUUAACAAGCGAGGCCAUGUGACUAUUCCAUUCCCAGUGGCCUUUUUCCAUGGGUUUAGCAUUAACCGAGGCUCCUUGCCUGAAUCGAUGAUUAUAUUCGCAGUUACAGUCUUCAGAUUCUGAUUCAUUCACGCCACGCAGUCUAUAUUUAUUGGCUGGUGUUCUUGUGUAAAGAUCUGCACCUCUCU